CUGACCCUUACUCUGUGUUCUCCUAGCUCCUCCUGAGGGUGCUGUAGGAGACAUCUGCAAAAAAGAAGAUGCUGGCAAUAUGCCAUCAACCUCAGAGGGGAGUAUUUACCUUGAAAUGGCUCACUUCCUGAGGAACAAACUUGCUGGAUCUAGUGUACGGAAACCUGAUUCUGGGUUCCUUUGGGAAGGAGCAUUACGGGCCUGCUCCUGGACCACCUCAUAUCACCAGCACCCUCUACCCAAGGUCCUGGAGCCAACACUGGAGUAAAAGAGCACAAGAGAACUCCUUAGAGGUGGAAGGUAAG
rnacentral:lncRNA from 1 species